rnacentral:rRNA from 1 species
CGAGCGGCGGACGGGUGAGUAAUGCAUAGGAAUCUGCCCGAUAGUGGGGGAUAACGUGGGGAAACUCACGCUAAUACCGCAUACGUCCUACGGGAGAAAGCAGGGGAUCUUCGGACCUUGCGCUAUCGGAUGAGCCUAUGUCGGAUUAGCUAGUUGGUGAGGUAACGGCUCACCAAGGCGACGAUCCGUAGCUGGUCUGAGAGGAUGAUCAGCCACACUGGGACUGAGACACGGCCCAGACUCCUACGGGAGGCAGCAGUGGGGAAUAUUGGACAAUGGGGGAAACCCUGAUCCAGCCAUGCCGCGUGUGUGAAGAAGGCCUUCGGGUUGUAAAGCACUUUCAGCGAGGAAGAAGGCCUGAGGGCUAAUACCCUUCAGGAAGGACAUCACUCGCAGAAGAAGCACCGGCUAACUCCGUGCCAGCAGCCGCGGUAAUACGGAGGGUGCGAGCGUUAAUCGGAAUUACUGGGCGUAAAGCGCGCGUAGGUGGCUUGAUAAGCCGGUUGUGAAAGCCCCGGGCUCAACCUGGGAACGGCAUCCGGAACUGUCAGGCUAGAGUGCAGGAGAGGAAGGUAGAAUUCCCGGUGUAGCGGUGAAAUGCGUAGAGAUCGGGAGGAAUACCAGUGGCGAAGGCGGCCUUCUGGACUGACACUGACACUGAGGUGCGAAAGCGUGGGUAGCAAACAGGAUUAGAUACCCUGGUAGUCCACGCCGUAAACGAUGUCGACUAGCCGUUGGGUUCCUUGAGAACUUUGUGGCGCAGUUAACGCGAUAAGUCGACCGCCUGGGGGAGUACGG